UACGAAGGGGACUAGCGUUGUUCGGAUUUACUGGGCGUAAAGCGCGCGUAGGCGGAUCGCUAAGUCAGGGGUGAAAUCCCAGGGCUCAACCCUGGAACCGCCUUUGAUACUGACGAUCUGGAGAUCGGGAGAGGUUGGUGGAAUUCCGAGUGUAGAGGUGAAAUUCGUAGAUAUUCGGAGGAACACCAGAAGCGAAGGCGGCCAACUGGCCCGAUACUGACGCUGAGGCGCGAAAGCGUGGGGAGCAAACAGG
rnacentral:rRNA from 1 species